AACGAACGCUGGCGGCAGGCCUAACACAUGCAAGUCGAACGACGACUUCGUUCCUAGCGGCUGUCAGGGGAGUAACGCGUCGGACCGUGCCCUUUUCUUCGGGAAAGCCCUUUUUCGCUGGGGGUAAUGCCGGGUAACCACUGUUGAUACAAGAUUCAUCCGCGAAGGGUAGGCCCGCGUUGGAUUGGGUUGUUGGGAGGGUAAUGGCCUACAAAGCCGUGGAUACAUAGCUGGGUUGAGAGCAUGAUCAGCCACACUUGGGCUGGGACACGGCCCAGACUCCUGCGGGAGGCAGCAAUGCGGAAUCUUAGACAACGGGGGAAACCCUGAUGGAGCCAGGCCGCGUGAGCGAUGAAGGCGUGAGGGAUGUAAAGCAGUUUCAGCUGGGAAGAUAAUGACGGUACCAGAAGAAGAAGCCCCGGCUAACUCCGUG
rnacentral:rRNA from 1 species